UACGUAGGGUGCAAGCGUUAAUCGGAAUUACUGGGCGUAAAGCGUGCGCAGGCGGUUCUAUAAGACAGAUGUGAAAUCCCCGGGCUCAACCUGGGAACUGCAUUUGUGACUGUAGAGCUGGAGUACGGCAGAGGGGGAUGGAAUUCCGCGUGUAGCAGUGAAAUGCGUAGAUAUGCGGAGGAACACCGAUGGCGAAGUCAAUCCCCUGGGCCUGUACUGACGCCCAUGCACGAAAGCGUGGGGAGCAAACAGG
rnacentral:rRNA from 1 species